UGCAGAAUCCCGUGAACCAUCGAGUCUUUGAACGCAAGUUGCGCCCGAAGCCUUCGGGUUGAAGGCACGUCUGCCUGGGCGUCACGC
rnacentral:rRNA from 1 species